GACGAACUGUGCAAACGUUAUUCGGAAUCACUGGGCUUGAAGAGUGCGUAGGCGGUUUUGUAAGUAGGGUGUGAAAGCCUCCGGCUUAACCGGGGAAUUGCGCUCUAAACUGCAAGGCUGGAGUGAGGUAGGGGUGUGUGGAACUUCUAGUGGAGCGGUGAAAUGCGCAGAUAUCAGGAGGAACACCGGUGGCGAAGGCGGGUCUCUGGGCCGUAACUGACGCUGAGGAGCGAAAGCAUGGGGAGCGAACAGG
rnacentral:rRNA from 1 species